rnacentral:misc_RNA from 1 species
GAUGAAGAACGUAGUGAAAUGCGAUAAGUAAUGUGAAUUGCAGAAUUCAGUGAAUCAUCGAAUCUUUGAACGCACAUUGCGCCCAUUAGUAUUCUAGUGGGCAUGCCUGUUCGAGCGUCAUUUCAACCCUUAAGCCUAGCUUAGUAUUGGGAAUUGGCUUUAUUGCCAUUCCUCAAAUUCAACGGCGGAUUUAUAGCAAUCUCUGAACGUAGUAAUUUUUUUUCUCGUUUUUGAAAUACUAUAAACCUCAGCCGCUAAACCCCCAAUUUUCUAUGGUUGACCUCGGAUCAGGUAGGAAUACCCGCUGAACUUAAGCAUAUCAAUAAGCGGAGGA